rnacentral:rRNA from 1 species
GACGAACGCUGGCGGCGUGCUUAACGCAUGCAAGUCGAGCGGUAAGGCCCUUUCGGGGGUACACGAGCGGCGAACGGGUGAGUAACACGUGGGUGACCUGCCCUCAGCUCUGGGAUAAGCCUGGGAAACUGGGUCUAAUACUGGAUAUGACUCCACGGUGCAUGUCGUGGGGUGGAAAGCCUUGUGCGGCUGAGGAUGGGCCCGCGGCCUAUCAGCUUGUUGGUGGGGUGANGGCCUACCAAGGCGACGACGGGUAGCCGGCCUGAGAGGGCGACCGGCCACACUGGGACUGAGACACGGCCCAGACUCCUACGGGAGGCAGCAGUGGGGAAUCUUGCGCAAUGGGCGAAAGCCUGACGCAGCGACGCCGCGUGAGGGAUGACGGCCUGG